rnacentral:rRNA from 1 species
AGAGUUUGAUCCUGGCUCAGAACGAACGCUGGCGGCGUGCCUAACACAUGCAAGUCGAACGAGAAAGGGGCUUCGGCUCCGAGUAAAGUGGCGCACGGGUGAGUAACACGUAGGUAACCUGCCUCUAAGAUUGGGAUAACUUGUCGAAAGACGAGCUAAUACCAAAUAAGACCACGGUCUCCUCGGGGACAGAGGUCAAAGGUAGCCUCUAUUUAUAAGCUAUCGCUGAGAGAUGGGCCUGCGUACCAUUAGCUAGUUGGUGAGGUAACAGCUCACCAAGGCAAAGAUGGUUAGCUGGUCUGAGAGGAUGAUCAGCCACACUGGAACUGAGACACGGUCCAGACUCCUACGGGAGGCAGCAGUGGGGAAUAUUGCGCAAUGGGCGAAAGCCUGACGCAGCAACGCCGCGUGAGUGAUGAAGGCCUUCGGGUCGUAAAGCUCUGUCGGAGGGAACGAAUGCUCCUGAAGUUAACAGCCUCAGGAGGUGACGGUACCCUCAAAGAG